rnacentral:rRNA from 1 species
UGGGGAAUUUUGGACAAUGGGCGCAAGCCUGAUCCAGCCAUGCCGCGUGAGUGAAGAAGGCCUUCGGGUUGUAAAGCUCUUUUAGAUGUGAAGAUAAUGACGGUAGCAUCAGAAAAAGCCCCGGCUAAAUUCGUGCCAGCAGCCGCGGUAAUACGAAUGGGGCAAGCGUUGUUCGGAAUCACUGGGCUUAAAGCGUGCGCAGGCGGAUUUGCAAGUCAGAAGUGAAAUCCCAGGGCUCAACCCUGGAAUUGCUUUUGAAACUGCAAAUCUAGAAUCCCGGAGAGGUUAGUAGAAUUCCGAGUGUAGAGGUGAAAUUCGCAGAUAUUCGGAGGAAUACCAGUGGCGUAAGCGACUAACUGGACGGGCAUUGACGCUCAGGCACGAAAGCAUGGGGAGCAAACAGGAUUAGAUACCCUGGUAGUCCAUGCCAUAAACGAUGUGUGCUAGUUGUCGGGACCUUCGGUCUCGGUGACGCAGCGAAAGCGGUAAGCACACCGCCUGGGGAGUACGGUCGCAAGAUUAA